rnacentral:lncRNA from 1 species
GGACAGGGUGUAACGUGGCUCCAGGGGACGCUGCUCGAGAGCGUGCCGUGGGGCUGACCAGGCGACCGAAACCUUCGCCCAGAAGGUGGGUGGAUGGCAUUACUCUGCAGGGCCCAGCGCCGGGCCGGGGUGACUCCGGCCGUACCCCGGGAGCGGCACAGGUGCCGACCAGCUUCCCAGGCCCCAGGCCAUGGACGUGGGCCGGGCAGACUCUUCCUGACACCCCUCACCAGCUCCAGUCCUCGGGCCCUGGGGCCACGAUGGUGUCCUCUGCCUGGGGACAGAGGUUUCCCGGCCGCCACCCUGUUUUUCUGUGCAGUCCACCCAGCAGGAGUGGGGACAGAGGACGUGCAAGGCCAGAGCCUGUGGUGUCUGUGGCCGGGCCCUUCAUAGAAGGAGCUCACGGGUCCUGGCUGAGGAUCAGAUGUGUCUGUUGCUGCCACACAGCUGGGGCUACAGACAGGAGGCACAAGAAACCACCCUGAGCCAGGGCUGUGCAGUGAGUCAGGGCGUCCUCCACACACGGACCCACUGGACACUCACCCCAUGAGCCGUGUGUACCGUGGUCAGGCAGCCAGCACCCACUGAGGUUGGCCGUGGUACCCCAGCGCUGGCCACUGGGCUAUAUGGGCUGAAGCAUGCUGCUCUGGCAGGAAUCAGUUAGUCCUCCUACUCCAGGAGAGCCCUCCUAAGCCAAGGGGACGCACACUGUCUGAACAGAGUCCUUGGGUCUCACAUGUAACUGGUCACUUCAUUCUCGGUCACGCUCUCGGUCAAAUGGAAGUGCUCUCUUACUGCGGAGCACACACACAUUCACUGUCACUAACUGAGCAGUCACCACUGUUAGGGCUUCUGCUUUGCAUCUCUGAAACCUUGUCUGGUGCCCUGUUUGUGUGGUUUCCUUUCUCCCCCUUGCCUGGGACCUGCACGUUCACUGGCUGGGGCCCAGCUGGAGGACCAGCCAGACGCUGAGCUGAGAGGUCACACUGCCCGGGCCACCUGUCUGCCACCCACCUGUCACUCCAGGACAUACGGACAAGGUGGCUGGGAUGCAGCUCUCCGCCCACCCUUGGUGUCUCCACUGUGUGUUUGUCCGGAGAUCAUCGCACCCAGCGGAGAACCCAGGCCACAGUCUCUCGACCACGCAGAGCCUUUGCUGUGGCUGUGCCUCACAGCCAGCGCAUCCUGGGAGACAGGAAGAGAGGCCCUGUCUGAGGGAGCCUCACCUCCUCCUCAUGGACUGGGAUGGGGAGGCUCUCCGGCCUGUCCAGUGGGGAAGGCGUGUCCAGGUUCACAGGUAAAACAUGAACCAUCCAGUACUGAAGCUCUGCAGUGCAGCUGCCUCUUUCCAUCUCUUGAGCCCAGUUGACACCUGGUUUGGGAGCAGGAAGUUACCUGCCUCCUGGGUCUCAAGCACCAGGGCCAGGCAUGGAAGGAGCCUAGCCCGCAGGGCCACCGUGUGCCUCGACCCGGUGAGCCCUGAUGCCUCAGAGACGCAGAUACGGUCUGUGUGAUGUGGUCCCUGUGUGUGGUGGGAGGUGACGCUUUCAGCCUCAGUCUCCGGGAAGUUCCACAUGUGACAUCGCCUGACAUCACACCGACCCAUGCCAGCCCCAAGGCUGCUGACUGCGGCAGGGUCUUUGAGAGCCAAGAACCCACAUCCUGCUGCAGUUAGGCAAAGCAGUGAGCAUGAUUCAGAGAUGGAGAAACUGAGUGGAGGAGAUCUAAAUGAUGUCCCAGAGGGCGCCCUGCAAGGUCAGAUCUAGGAUUGAAAACCACAGCCCUGGCUUGGCCUGGAGUGUUGUCCUCCAGAUUUCCCCAUGUGUCCAGAGCAGAUGUAAAGAUCAUAAGAUGCUGGCCAGAAAACCCGUGUACUCUGGGAAAUGUCCAGAGGAGACCGACUUCCUUCCUUCCCUGAGAUUCAGCACCUGUUGCUGGGCUGUGCCCUCAAGGACAUCACCAUGGCUGGUAUCAUUUUACAUGAAGAUUUUCUUGUGACUGCAAUAAUCUCCAUAUCUGAAAACUGACUAAAUUCACAAUAAUAAGUUUACUAUUGUUUAGACAUUUAUUUUGUCAUUUUGAAUGGAAAGUACUGAAAAGUGAAAUUAAACAUAUAUGA